GGGAAUGUGGCUCAGUGGUAGAGUGCUUGCUUCCCAUGCAUGAGGCCCUGGGUUCGAUUUCUCAGUACCA
rnacentral:tRNA from 1 species